ACGAACCUCUGGUGUACCGGUUGUGACGCCAGUCGCAUCGCCGGGUAGCUAUGUUCGGAAGGGAUAACCGCUGAAAGCAUCUAAGCGGGAAGCCUACCUCAAGAUAAGAUUUCCCCGAGACUUUAUGUCUCCUAAAGAGCCGUUGAAGACUACGACGUUGAUAGGUUGGAUGUGGAAGUGCGGUGACGCAUGAAGCUGACCAAUACUAAUUGCUCGUGAGGCUUGACUAUACAACACCCAAACAGUUG
rnacentral:rRNA from 1 species